rnacentral:rRNA from 1 species
UACGUAGGCAGCAAGCGUUGUUCGAGUUACUGGGCGUAAAGGGCGCGUAGGCGGCGUACUGUUAGUCAGGCGUGAAAUUCCCGUGGGCUCAAACCUGGGGGACUGCGCUUGAUAACGGCAGAGCUAGAGGGAUGGAAGAGACGUGCGGAAUUCCCAGUGUAGCGGUGAAAUGCGUAGAUAUUGGGAGGAACACCGAGUGGCGAAGGGCGGCUCACGUGGACCG